rnacentral:misc_RNA from 1 species
GAAAUGCGAUAAGUAAUGUGAAUUGCAGAAUUCAGUGAAUCAUCGAAUCUUUGAACGCACAUUGCGCCCCCUGGCAUUCCGGGGGGCAUGCCUGUUCGAGCGUCAUUACACCACUCAAGCCUGGCUUGGUAUUGAGCGCCGCGGCCUGCCCGCGCGCUCCAAUGUCUCCGGCUGAGCCGUCCGUCUCUAAGCGUUGUGAAUAGCGAUCGCUUGCGAGGCCCGGGCGGUUCGACGCCAUUAAACCCCCCAUUUUCUAUGGUUGACCUCGGAUCAGGUAGGGAUACCCGCUGAACUUAAGC